GGAAAAGAAGGAGGAGAUGGAGGAGGAAGAGGAGGAGGAGGAAAAAGAGGAGAGGGAGGAGAUGCAAGAGGAAAAGAAGGAGGAGGAGGAAAAGGAGGAGGGGGAGGAGAUGGAGGAGAAGGAAAAGGAGGAGGGGGAGAAGAUGGAGGAGGAAGCGAAUGCAGAGGGAUGGAGAUGGAGGAGAGGAGGAGGUUGUUGUAAUCAUGGAAAGGCAGGGAGUUGUCUGUGAGGACUCACUUUGACUCCAUUCUGUCCUUCUUCUUCUUCUUAUACUAACCCCCUUGAUCUUCCUUUCCCUAGAAGAGGGGCAUGCCAAGCGUCUUCCUUUUGCAUGCACACACACACACACACACACACACACACACACACAGAGCAUGUUACCAACAGCUUUUUAUUUAACUUUCUCCCUGCCCAGAGCUUCUCUUCACUGACUGUCUGGGACAAGCCAGCGCCGUGGAGCUGUCUCUUUUUCAUUUCUCAGCCUCACUGGCCAUUCCAGUCCUCAAGAAAUAUUUGCUUGAUGUGACUUCUUGGAACCAAAUGUUGGUACCCAACUGAAAGGGAUGGAGCCCUCCGAACUUGGAAGUUCCGCUGAGGAUGAGGGCGGCCGCCAUUUUGAAACGAACAGACUCCAAAAGCACGCUCCACUGGGCCUGCCCCUGCGAUCUUAAAACAGAUGUCCGUGAAAUGUGACCCAUGAAUAGCAGUUAUCUGGAGAGAGAGCUCUGAAGCUGAUGAAACCAUUAGAGCCACUGAAGGCACCUGGUAAAUGCGAUGCGGGGAGUACAGAAGAGAGAAUCAGAAACACACCGGCACUCUCAUUCCCAUGAGGCCACUUACAGUGGGUAAAACGUCGCUUGAGAAGAGCGGCAGCUCCAGCCUGAAUGAGAAGCACGUCCUCCUGGGAGUUACGUCAGCAGCCUGACCUUCCAUCUUCCUCCUCUAAAGAAGCGUCCCUGCCACCCUGAGCACGAAGCCCUCGGGUUCCUAAAGGCCGAGGCGCUUCUUCUCAUUUACUUCCCUUGAGGAAGAAAGACCAGCCCAUCCACCCUCAUUUCCCACCGAAGGGCAUCGCAAAUAAAGUUUGCCCACGCAACCAGGCCACCACCAUUAAUUUCUCUCUGCCCUGCUCUUACAUUCUCCUCAAGGUUUUCAGUCCCCUAGAGAGGCUCCCUUCCCUCUUUUCUUUCCUUCCUCCAGCCCCCCUUUUCACCUCCCUCCACCAUUGUUUGAGGUUAAGAAGCAUGCUACGGUGUUCUAUAAAUCACUUGGCAAGAGUAGACGACAAAAGCAAAAUAUAAUUCAGAUUAAAGUCAUCCUCCCGCUGAAAUGAUAGUUUCUUAAAUAAAUGGCGAUGCUGCCUAUCAAUCUUGCUGGCAACUGGUCCUCUCAUAUUCAUCUUUCUGGGGGUGAUUUAGGAUCCACCUGGGUCCUCCGAGAAGAUUCUCCCAUCAUUUCCUUCCCGUCUCUCUGGAUCUUGCUGCUGGGCUUGGCGCAGUUGACAAAUUCUCCAAGUAAUCCCUCAAAAGAUUGGAGAAAUGCUCCGAACGCUCCAUUAAACUUAUUUUCCAUGCUUUAAGAGACCCAAAACUAUGUCCAAUAAAUAAGUGUUCCCUGUGAUUUACUGAAAUGCUCCUCUGAUUUAAAGUUAUAGAGGGAAAAAUAUGGCGCCCCUGGGAGGGAAGGACCAGCCUCACAAGUGAGACCAGAUGUGAGAUUUCUGCCCGGGGAGGGGAGAAGAGGGGGAAAAAACAACCCAAGUGGUGGAGGUUUGAAAGUGACAAUGUCUGAACCCAGGCUCUCGGCUUUAACAUAAAAGGUCCCCAGUUGAACAUUCUUUCUCACAAAAUUUAUUGUGGUUGUAGUUAGAGGGGGAACCAUCAAAAGAGUAAUUCUGGCCCUUGUUUUGCAGAGCUCUUUUGAUAAAUAUGAUACUUAGAAAUAUGCCUCCCACUAGACAGAAAAGCCAUAUAGUUAAAAUGAAGUAAUCUGUCAGUAAACUCGCUAGAAUCAAAGCCAAAAUGAAACCUGUAAAAGGAGAAGGGGGAAAAAAUCUCCACUUAGAAACGUUUGAGUCAAGCAGGGGAGAAGGUAGAGAUUAAGAAUUGUCCUUUAUUCAGAUAUUUUUAUCUACGGAGUUAAAAGCGGAGAUUUAUUUUUAAAAGGGGCUAUUUAUGUUCCAAUCUCCAACAGAUGGGUCUGUGUUCCUGCCUCGCUCAUGCAGCUCAGGCUCAGCAAAAAAACAGCUUCUCUUCUGAGCUGAAACUUACCCAAAAGAAGGAGGAAUAAAAACUUUGGGAAACAAAUGUAACCUUUGGAGCUGCUUGGUAAAUAUUGGAACUGUUUACUAUGGAGGCCCAGAUGUGUCAAAACCAAGAAACAAACAGGAACCAGCAAAAACAGAUGUGAAGACUAGACAUGUAUACAUAUUAACCAUGUAUUACAUAUGCAUAUGUGUGCACACGUGUCACUCAUGUACUGAUUCCCAGAGGGCUGGAUAACUUCGGCCAAGAAAAUUCCCACUGGGGAAGAGACAUCAUCCAUAGGUUAUCCCAAAUAGUUCUAUCUUAGGAGUCCACUUCUCUGAGUCUCUCUUCACGUGAUCAAUCACUUGUUUAGAAAAUAUUUCUCAUGGUCAAUAACAGAAAAUUUUUACAUUAGCUCCACUAGUGAAAUUACCCUCAAAGCAUUUCUUGCACCAAAAGAAACCAGACUCCAUGGCUGCAUCAGCGACUGGGCUAGCCACUCUGGAAACAGGUUCCCAAGCCUUCAAGAGCUGCCAAGCCAUCCCAGAAUAAAGCGCCCCUCCUCACCGAGCAGCAGGCUCUGGUCUGUGCAGCUUCCACAAGGCCUGAUCCCAGGAAAAGCCUUCCUGCUUCCCAGGGACUUCCCCAUUCCUGUCCCCAAAACAACGCCUGAGGCUGUCAGCCUAGAGAAGGGGAAGUCCCCACCACCCCGUCCCAGGAUGCGAGGCAGGAAGACAUUUACCCCACCUGCGGGACAAAAAGAUUAAGGCCCACGGUGUGUAUACAGCCUCGGGCCAAUUACAGUUUUCAAAUUCUCCCACUCCCUCCACUGGCAUUUGUCCUAGAGUGAAAUGUGCCUAAAAUGAAGAGGAGAAAGACAGAGGAUAACAGAAGGGUGUCAGGGAAGGAGUCUUAAAUAUCAGAUGACCCCAAAUCUGACCCUGGUUCUGCAAUAAAGUGUCUAUGUGACCUGAGACCAGUGGCUUCACCAACCGGAACCCCAGUUUCUUCCAUCUGUGGUGAAGCGUUGAACCAAAUGACCUCCUGCUUCUCAGACUCCCAGAGAUGGUCCCUUUCUCAGGCCCCAGGGCCUCCCUCCCUCCAAGGCACCCCUGCAGGUCUGGACAGAGUUGGAGGGUGUGGGGUUGGAACGGCACCUGUGUUUACAAUGGUACAAUCUGCAGUUUACUGUAAUAAAAUCAUUUAAUACAUUCAUAAUUUUUUUGGCAAGGGGUUGUGUUUAUGGUGAGCAAGACAGAGAGGGAAUGAUUGACUAGGACUGAUUAAAACGAUAAAUCAAAAACGAAGGCGGGAGGACAUGAAGAGCGCAAAGCCACAGGCAAAUCCAAUUUAAGUCUCAGGCUCGGUGUCUUUGUGGGAACAGCUUGGCCUGAGGAUGAGCCAGCCCUGGGGGUGGGGGCCCCGGGCCAGGGUGGGAGUGAUGGGGCACAGAAUCUGGCAGCUCAACCCAACAGGGUUUAUCUUCACCGGGCUGAGAAAUAAGGAAAUGGUUUUACAAGAACUCAUUUCCUUGGGCCUCUGUCUUCAAAAGGAUUUAGGAGGGCUGGAGAAUAAAGGAGAGUGUGUGUGUGUGUCACAUACGUGUGCAUCCAGGUAGAAUAAUUUGAGCAAGACCUAGAGGGACUUUCCAGAAUCAAAAUUAUCUUUAAAGAAAAAAACGAUCCUUCAAGUAAAGUAUCUGAAACUCCACUGCUAGCAAGGAUUAGCAAACACUUCUGACCUUGCAAAUGCUGUCCUUCAAUAACUGAGUGCCUACUGCAUGCCAGGCACUGUGCUGGGGCAGAAACAGAUUGUUCACUUAACGAAUAAUGAGCAAGUCCAAGCACUGUCCUAGGCCCCAGGGAUAGAAGAGUGAAAAAAGAAUCCCCGACCCCAUGGAACUGCUCUUGUGGGCAUUUACCUCCUUGUGAAUUAAGCACUAUGUUUGCCCCUGGAAAAACAGGCUUCCAGUCAACAGUUGUUUAUACAACAGUGUGAUAAAUGCUAUAACUCAAAGGUGUACAAAGGGUCAUUAAUACUGAGGGGUUGAAUUCUGAUCCAGUCUUUAUUAUUAUUAUUAUUCCACCCUUCUCACUCCCCGACCUCACUGUUCCAUCACUCCCCACCCUGCUUCCAUAUGGACCCAUUGUUUAACUCCCACAUAUAAGUGAAAACAUGAGGUAUUUGUCUUUCUGUGUCUGAGUUGUUUUAUGUAGUGUUCUCCAAUCCCACCCAUUUUGCUGCAAAAGACCUGAAUUCAUUCUUUUUUAUAGCUGAAUACUAUUCCAUUGUGUAUAUAUGCCACAUUUCCUUUAUCUAGUCAUCCAUCGAUGGACACUCAGGUUGAUUCCACAGGCUGAUUUGCUAUCAUGAUUUGCUAUCAUGAAUAUUGCUGCGAUAAACAUACGCAUGCAGGUAUCUUUUUGAUAUACUGAUUUCUUUUCCUUUAGAUAGAAACCCAGUAGUAGGAUUGCUGAGUUGAACGGUGGUUCUAUCUUUAGUUCUUUAAGAAAUCUCCGUAAUGUUUUUCAUCCAGGUUGUACUAAUUUACAUUCCCACCAACAGUGUAUAAAGUUUCCCUUUUCUCCACAUCCUCUCCAACACCUGUUUAGGGUUUUUUUUAUUUUGUUUUGUUUUGUUUUGUUUUUAACUUUUUAAUAAUCUGAGCUGGGGCUGGGCAUGGUAAUCCCAGUAAUCCCAGCACUUUGGGAGGCCAAGGCAGGAGGAUACUUUGAGGUCAGGAGUUUGAGACCAGCCUGAGCAACAUAGUGAGACCCCAUCUCUACAAAAACUAAAACAUUAGCUGGGUGUGGUGGCAUGCACCUGUGUGGUCCCAGCUACUUGGGAGGUUGAGGCGGGAAGAUCGCUUGAGUCCAGGAAUUUGAGGCUACAGUGAGCUAUGAUCACACUACUGCACCCCAGCCUGGGCAACAGAGCAAGACUCUGUCUCAAAAUAAUAAUCGUAAUAAUAAUAAUGUGAGCUGGAUCUUAAAGGGUAAGAAGAAUCGCCCUUUCACAGCCAGAAAAGAACAGUGCUCCAGACAGAGGUCACUGCAUUAGUGAAGGCAUGGAGCUUUGGAAGGGCUUCUAUUGGGAAGGGAGAGAAACCAAAUGCCUAGGAAGGGCUAGGUAUUACGUUGCUUGUCUGGUUACCAGCUAAUUCCUUGGUUAGUUAUUUAACAGCUCUCUGAGAGCACGUCUUCAAAAAAAAAAAGAGGUCAGGAGCCUGGGAAUUGGAAGGCUGCGGGGAGAUGGGUUGGAUAGAGAAGUCAAGACAAACUUCAGUUACUUCACAGCUUUGCAUAGGAUGGUGUGGUAGAAAAAACUACUGACCACCAAAGAUUCAUGCUCCCCCAACACCAUGUUGAGUUGCUUCUGGGGAGCAGAUGCCCAGUCUACAAUUUUCACCACCCACACCCACAACCCAGCCCAUGCAGCUAGUGCGAUCCACACGACUGGGUCUCACCAAUGGAACAUGGGCGUAAGGGUCAUGCAUCAUGUCCAGGCCAACAUGGUGUUAGUCUCCAGUGUGCUGUCUCCCCGUCCACAGAGACCGCGAAAGUAUCCAAUGUACUCCCUGGAUAGAGACCUCUCCAUGAGACUUCAGAAGCCAGGUGUUAAAGAUGGUGUCAUCACAAAAUGGCAGCAAGGAGCUGUUCAGGGAGCCACCUUGUGAUCCCUGAGGUAGGAGUAUAACCUCAUGGUGAGGCAGCACCUUCAGCAGAGGGCAAGUUCU
rnacentral:lncRNA from 1 species